rnacentral:tRNA from 1 species
GGGGAUGUAGCUCAAUGGUAGAGUGCUUGCCUAUCAUGCAUGAGGCUCUGGGUUCCAUUCCCAGUACCAUCU